AUUCUCAACUUAUUCAUGACAAAACCAGGAACAUUUGAUAGAUGGAGAACAUUGAAGAUGUUUUCAUUUGACGCCAAACAUGCCCAUUCCCUCCUUGAUAGGUAAGUCAGGUUGUGGAGGUCGCCCUCCAGGGGGUUCUUCGGACUACCAAGCACCGACAUGAGAGCCCAGUUCAAGUUCACAAUACAGUAUUAUUAUUCCAGCAAUUGUCUUGUUGUGUUUCAGUCUUUUCUCCUCCAGGCUGCUGCUUAUACAGAGCGACAGGUGAUUUGACAACAAGGCCCACCUGGGCCAUCUACGCACCUAUCGCUCACUGCGAGGCUGUUCCUGGCACACCCCGUUCCGCUGCAAACAUGCAGGCCACGCCCCCCUCUACACAGAACAUGGAUCCAAGAAAAAGGAAACAUUUUGAAAUGUGGGAUCAUCUAAAUGUUCUUCGUCUCCUGUCCAUGGUCUGUGUGAUUGGCGGCAACCAAUAAUCAAUACAAGUAUUGGGAGUGACGCGGCGGAGCGUGAGGUGAGCGCCAAGUCCGACUGUGGUGGUGGCGGCGAUGCGAGCGGGCCACCUGCUCUCAGGCCACGCCCACACAUCAAUGGAGAUGUUGUCUUUGCCGUAUUGACUUUGGAGGCCGCCUCGCCGAUCGAUGGCGAGCGGUCAAGCCGACUGACUGAGCACAUGCCACACACUCUACAACACCAUUGAUUGGCCGGUGCCGUACGUAGAGUGCACUUAAGCAGAAAAGCCCGGGCCCCCCAGCAGGAAGGGGAUUCAAGUGGCCCCAACCGUCACGGUUUACCUGACACAUGAAACGUGACGAAUUUGCCGGAUAGCAGUCGAGUUGUUUUGUGGCAAUUCCAACUUUGACCACUGAGUCAGUUCUGGCGCUUUCCGUCACAUUCAGCGGACAGCAUGAAGAACGGGGUCCUAUGAAUCCCUUUUUUGACUCUACCUCCUGAUAGUAAAGAAGUCCUAAAUCCAGACAGUCAUCCGGAUCACCCCCAAAAUCUAGUGACUUCCUUAGUUCACUUCCUUAUCUCUUUGUUGACAUUUCCUGAACAUUUCAUCA